CCCGUGUGUUUCUCUUCUCUCCCUGCUCCGCAUGGGCAAAGUUCACCUCCCAGCUCUUCAGGUCCUCCUACUUCUCACAGAGGUUGUUCCCACACAGAAAGUGGCCUUCAAAACACAGUGUCAAUACAAUAGAGACAUUAUUCAACUGCAUUGCCAUUCAUUGUAGAGAAAUUUAGAGCGUCAGAUUAAGGUAUUACUGUAUAGUGUAAAAACACUGUACUUGCAUGACUGUACCUCCAACCCUGCAUCUGGGCAGGUUUGGUUAAUGAGAACAGGCUGGAGGGAAAUCAUUUUCAGGUAUAUGAAGUUUAUUCCUUAUUUUGAGGACACCAUGCAGAUACAUAGGAUAGUCUGCAAUGCGAGAAAUGCCUAUGUAAAGCUCAACAAGGGUGUGUUCUCCUGUGCCAUUCAUUAUGACAUUGUUCACUAAUAAUCAAGCUCAAUGGGAGGAACAUGUACAUGGGUAAUGUAGGAGGCAGGAACCAGGGCUGGCCAGUGGCCAUGCCUUCACCCUGAACUUAUGCAGCAGAUUAGGAGAAUUUACACACCAGGUUAGGAGAAUUUACGCACCAGGUUAGGAGAACUUACGCACCAGGUUAGGAGAACUAACGCAUCAGGUUAGGAGAACUUAUGCAGCGGGUUAGGUGAAUUAAUGCAGCGGGUUAGGAGAAUUUACCCAGCAGGUUAGGAGAAUUUACCCAGCGGGUUAGGAGAACUAACGCAGCAGGUUAGGAGAACGUACGCAGCAGGUUAGGAGAACAUACGUAGCAGGUUAGGAGAACAUACGCAGCAGGUUAGGAGAACAUACGCAGCAGGUUAGGAGAACAUACGCAGCAGGUUAGGAGAACAUACGCAGCAGGUUAGGAGAACAUACGCAGCAGGUUAGGAGAAUUAACGUACCAGGUUAGAACUAACGCAGCAGGUUAGGAUAAUUAACAUACCAGCUUAGAAGAAUUAUGCAGCAGGUUAGGAGAAUUUACACACCAGGUUAGGAGAAUUAACGCACCAGGUUAGGAGAAUUAACGUACCAGGCUAGGAGAAUUAACGUACCAUGUUAGGAGAAUUGCUAGGAAAAGUAACUUCCGGUCGUAUUUGUACUCCAUCUAGUCACAACCUUGGGCCUCACCUUACCACAGGCUGCUGGAGGUGGCUACAUUCCAUGAGCUGCCUACUUCACAUGCAGGCUAAUUAACACAUGAUCUGCCAGACAAGAAUGAAUUCUCUCUGAUGUUGGUGGGUCAUUCAAAGAAUAGCGUCCCUUUGAUAUUUUAAGUAGGAACUGUGCAUCAAUACUGAAUUUUAAACAUUUGUUUUAUUAAAUUAAGUGACCUUUAAAAUAAAUCACAUGGAACAUUUAAUACAUCAAAAUUGUUAUAUGAAUAAAGUCUCGCUAAAGUGGCCAAAAUCUAUAUGGGACACCAUACAGGAAGGUAUGAUGAUGACUGACAUGCUUGGCAAGGUAGCCCCAGCACCACCAGACACAACGUUGAUAGGUACAGUAUCUCUGUACUUGCUCAUGGAUAUGUUAGUAGAACAGCUCUUCUAUUGUGUUUUUCUGACAUUUAGGAAGAUUAGAACCCACUUAACCCCAACAUUUCACCAUUAUUGAUUAUUUUUUUCUCUCGCCCAUCUACACACAACGUCCAAUAACGAUAGUGACAAAACAUGUUUGUAGAUAUUUUGUCAAAUCAUUUGAAAAUGAAAUACAGAAAUAUCUCAUUUACAUAUUUAGUCACACCCCUGAGUCAUUGGCAGCGAUUACAGCUGCGAGUCUUUCUGGGUAAUUCUCUAAGAGCUUUGCAAACUUGAACUGUACAAUAUUUGCACAGUAUUCUUUUUUUAAAAUUCUUCAAGCUCAGCCAUUUUCAGAUUUUCAAGCUGAUUUAAGUCAAGACUGUAACUAGGCCACUCAAGA
ensembl:lncRNA